GCAGGAACCAGGUGACAGAAGCUUCUGUGGCUGUUGUGUUACAGAUAUGUCUCCAGGGAGGACUUCUCCAGCUCCUACCUUGGAUGCUGCACCCAAGCCCAGCUCCCAUGGCAGGGGUCCUCCACCAGAAGAGACCAAAGGCAUGGCAUACAAGAAAUUCCAGAACCCAUUUGAAUUCAUGUGGCAAAUGCUGAAGGAAAUGCUGCAGAGAAGUCAAGAAGUGGAUUUUGAGCCUGUGCAGAAGGAAGCAUUUCCCGGAGGAAGCA